rnacentral:rRNA from 1 species
GGACAAUGGGCGCAAGCCUGAUCCAGCAAUACCGCGUGUGUGAAGAAGGCCUUAGGGUUGUAAAGCACUUUCAAUUGGGAGGAAAACCUGCCGGUCAAUACCCGGUAGCUUGACAUUACCUUUAGAAGAAGCACCGGCUAACUCCGUGCCAGCAGCCGCGGUAAUACGGAGGGUGCGAGCGUUAAUCGGAAUUACUGGGCGUAAAGCGUGCGUAGGCGGUUCGUUAAGUCAGAUGUGAAAGCCCCGGGCUUAACCUGGGAACUGCAUUUGAAACUGGGCGACUAGAGUUGAGUAGAGGGGAGUGGAAUUUCAGGUGUAGCGGUGAAAUGCGUAGAUAUCUGAAGGAACACCAGUGGCGAAGGCGACUCCCUGGACUAGAACUGACGCUGAGGUACGAAAGCGUGGGUAGCAAACAGGAUUAGAUACCCUGGUAGUCCACGCCGUAAACGAUGUCAACUAGCCGUUGGUCCUAUUUACAGGAUUAGUGGCGCAGCUAACGCAUUAAGUUGACCGCCUGGGAGGUACGGCCGCGAGGUUAAA